UUUAUGCAUUUGUACUGUUAAAAACUGACGUGAUUGACAGAAUAAUUAGACAAUGACACAUUAUGUGUCACAUGUACCUCAUGUUUAUGUAUAGGGUGUAAUUUUUAACAAUAGAAAUUAAUAAA
rfam:Gossypium hirsutum cultivar TM-1 unplaced genomic scaffold scaffold1092.1, whole genome shotgun sequence